rnacentral:rRNA from 1 species
UACGUAGGUGGCAAGCGUUGUCCGGAUUUAUUGGGUUUAAAGGGUGCGUAGGCGGCCCUGUAAGUCAGUGCUGAAAUAUCCCGGCUUAACCGGGAGGGUGGCAUUGAUACUGCAGGGCUUGAGUACAGAUGAAGUAGGCGGAAUUGACGGUGUAGCGGUGAAAUGCAUAGAUAUCGUCAAGAACACCGAUAGCGAAGGCAGCUUACUAAGCUGUAACUGACGCUGAGGCACGAAAGUGUGGGGAGCAGACAGG